rnacentral:rRNA from 1 species
UACAGAGGGUGCAAGCGUUGUUCGGAAUUAUUGGGCGUAAAGCGCGUGUAGGCGGCUUUGCAAGUCGGGUGUGAAAUCCCCCAGCUUAACUGGGGAAGUGCGCUCGAAACUGCAGAGCUCGAGUACCGGAGAGGAUGGCGGAAUUCCCCAAGUAGAGGUGAAAUUCGUAGAUAUCGAGAGGAACACCUGCGGCGAAGGCGGGUAGCUGGGCCGACACUGACGCUGAGGCGCGAAAGCCAGGGGAGCGAACGGG